rnacentral:ncRNA from 2 species
CGGUCUCGCCAGGGGCGCCGAAAGGCUGAGAAGCACCCUUUGAACCUGAACCGGAUAAUGCCGGCGGAGGGAGAGCACGGUCAGUCUGCG